GGGACGGGUUUGGCAGGACGUUG
rnacentral:siRNA from 1 species